rnacentral:lncRNA from 1 species
CAAAUUUCAACAAAACAAAUGCUUACAUAUUUGCAUUUACAACCAUAUACCCAUCAUCAACAUGCACACCAUCCCAUCAUCAUCAUCAUGCACAUCAUCCCAUCAUCAUCAUCUCAUAUGCAACGGCUUAUGCUAUUGUCACUAGGGGGUGGGAGAUCACGAAGCAUCCCCCCCUUCACUCGACAAGAGGUGCACUUCACUCCGGAUCACGAAGCAACGGAGCAGUCCCUUCCCUCCUCUUCCAAGCUCUUGGGUGGAGAGUCAUACUUCGCCACAGAUCAUACCUAUCAAAGCACUCAUAGGGUGGAAGAUCACGAAGCAUCCAGCCCUAUAAGCUAUGGGGGCAACAACGGCUUAUGUGCACUCCCACUCACACAUAGCCGGGUCAGCAACGGCUUAUGUGCACUCCUACUCGCACAUAGUCGGGUUCAAAUCAACAUGUAAAGAAGCAUCCAAUGCAUAUCAUGCAUUUUAUCAUAUUGUGAUAACACAUAAACCAUUGUAUAGCACAUUUUCACAAUAUAAAAUCAUUUUACUAAAAGCUUGUUCCCAAGGUACAUUUUCUAAGACAAGUUGGAUAGAAUCUUUCAUAUUUCCCAAAACAAGUUUGAAAUGCAAGUCCACUCACCGGUAUUAGGAGUAGAAAUACUCUUAUUUUCAGUCCGCGGGUACAGUCCUUUACCCGUAUCCAAUGGCUCACCACCUAGCCAUAAUCCAUGACACAUAUUCCAAUUAAAUUGUGUCUAACAGUCAUAAGCUAUUUCAGGCUCGAUAUAUAUAUGAUAUGAAAUGAAAAAUGCACGGGUAGCCAUCUAGACCCGGUAUUGGCCUAAGUCGAUUUUUCAUCCGAUCAAUUGGCCAAUGCGUCCAAUUUCACUCCAAAUUAAUCCAUUUCUCCUCUAAUACCUUAAUUUACCACAUACCAUUUAAAUAAAGCCAAAUUCAGCAUUAGAACCCUCACAGUUCCUUAUAGAAAAAUUCGGUCAUUUGGUGCACUAGCACCAAAAAUUUUUCUACAUAACCGUUUCACCUUAAUUCAUCAUUUUCCAAGCCAUUUUCCUUGAAAUAAAAACAAUCCCCCAUUGAUAUUCAGCCCUCAUGGUUCGGCCAACAAGGAACCCUAGAGAAAUUGAAUAUUUCUUUUGUGUUUUUGUUCAUAACCAUGCUUAACUAUCCCUAAACACUAACAUAGUCUAAAAUCAAAUUAUUCCAACAACAAUUCCUCUUCCAUACCCAUUUUUCAGAAUUGAAUUCAUCAUGAUAACUCAAUAUUCAACCAUGGAAAUCAAGAACAAAAGCAUGGGUAAGCUAGGUAUCAAGGAGAAUUAAAGAAAUUUUAACUUACCUAGCUUGUUUCCUUGAUUUCUUCACUUUUUCUUUGAAUUUUCACCUAGGUUUUCUUGUUUUUCCCUUUGUUCUUCCUUUGUUCUUGUUGCUGGUUGCCUAGGCCGAAUAUGGUGAG